rnacentral:snRNA from 1 species
UCCGGAACCGGGACGUGGCGGU